GACGAACGCUGGCGGCGUGCCUAAUACAUGCAAGUCGAGCGCAGGAAGCCGUCUGAACCCUUCGGGGGGACGACGGUGGAAUGAGCGGCGGACGGGCGAGUAACACGUAAAGAACCUGCCCAUAGGUCUGGGAUAACCACGAGAAAUCGGGGCUAAUACCGGAUGUGUCAUCGGACCGCAUGGUCCGCUGAUGAAAGGCGCUCCGGCGUCGCCCAUGGAUGGCUUUGCGGUGCAUUAGCUAGUUGGUGGGGUAACGGCCCACCAAGGCGACGAUGCAUAGCCGACCUGAGAGGGUGAUCGGCCACACUGUGACUGGGACACGGCCCGGACUCCUACGGGAGGCAGCAGGAGGGAAUCUUCCACAAUGGACGAAAGUCUGAUGGAGCAACGCCGCGUGAACGAUGAAGGCUUUCGGGUCGUAAAGUUCUGUUGUAAGGGAAGAACAAGUGCCGCAGGCAAUGGCGGCACCUUGACGGUACCUUGCGAGAAAGCCACGGCUAACUACGUGCCAGCAGCCGCCGUAAUAC
rnacentral:rRNA from 1 species